rnacentral:rRNA from 1 species
GACGAACGCUGGCGGCGUGCUUAAUACAUGCAAGUCGAACGGAAAGGCCCUGCUUUUGCGGGGUGCUCGAGUGGCGAACGGGUGUGUAACACGUGAGUAACCUGCCCCUGACUUUGGGAUAACUUCAGGAAACUGGGGCGAAUACCGGAUAGGAGCUCCUGCUGCAUGGUGGGGGUUGGUAAGUGUCGGCGGUUGGGGAUGGUCUCGCGGCUUAUCAGCUUGUUGGGGGGGUAGUGGCUUACCAAGGCUUUGACGGGUAGCCUGCCUGAGAGGGUGACCGGCGACCUUGGGCCUGAGAUACGGCCCAGACUCCUACGGGAGGCAGCAGUGGGGAAUAUUGCACAAUGGGCGGACGCCUGAUGCAGCAACGCCGCGUGCGGGAUGACGGCCUUCGGGUUGUAAACCGCUUUCGCCUGUGACGAAGCGUGAGUGACGGUAAUGGGUAAAGAAGCACCGGCUAACUACGUG